rnacentral:rRNA from 1 species
AUACGGAGGGUGCAAGCGUUAAUCGGAAUUACUGGGCGUAAAGGGUUCGUAGGCGGUUAUUUAAGUCAGAUGUGAAAGCCCCGGGCUCAACCUGGGAAUUGCAUCUGAUACUGGGUAACUAGAGUUUAAGAGAGGAGUGUGGAAUUUCCGGUGUAGCGGUGAAAUGCAUAGAGAUCCGAAGGAACAUCAGUGGCGAAGGCGGCACUCCGGCUUAAAACUGACGCUGAGGAACGAAAGCGUGGGUAGCAAACAGGAUUAGAAACCCUAGUAGUCC